UGUUAAAAAUUCUAUGUAUUUAUACUGUUUAAAAUUAAUAUGACUAAUGAAAUAACUAGAUAGUGAUAGGUGGUGUGCAACGUGUAUUUCAAGUUGAUAUAUAAAGACUAGUUUUUAACAGUAGAAAUAGAUAGAAUUUUCAAUA
rnacentral:pre_miRNA from 1 species